UCAAACUCUUCAGUACAGCUACACUCUGUUGAGUGUGAAUGAUCUUACUAUAUAGUACCCAAACUGGUCAAGUCCCUGUAAAGAGAAGGCCAAAUUACAGGGCUUGAGCUGUGUAGGGAUCUGGCUUCUUCAUGGGUGUCCCUAGUGGAUAGCCUCAAGUCUAGAACAGAGGGACUGCUUGGCUGUCUACAGUGGAAAAGACCUUCAAGUUGACGAUGACAUGUUGAAGACUGGAAGUGUCUUCAGACUGUCUUCAGUGUUGCUGGGUAGACUGGAGCUGCAUCUUCUACACCUCAGCCGUCCAUCUCACAAGCCUCCAUAUGGGUUUGUUAAAGACCACAUCCUCUGGACCAGCAAGAUGGCUCAGAACUUGCCAACAAAGCUGACGACAUGAACUUGAUCCUUGAGACCUACAUGGUGGGAGAAGGGAACUUGUCUACUCUGGUUAUCCACAGUCCUCCAUGUGUGUACUGUGGUAUGUCUCCACACGCACUAACUAAAUGAACAAAGUAAAAUGUUUUU